GGGGGGGGGGGGGGGGGGGGGGGGGGGGGGGGGGGGGGGGGGGGGGGGGGGGGGGGGGGGGGGGGGGGGGGGGGGGUGACAGGACCCCUGGGAGUGACAGGACCCCUGGGGGUGACAGGAUCCCUGGGGGUGACAGGACCUCUGAGGGUGACACGACCUCUGAGACUGACACAACCUCUGAGAAUCCAAGGAGGAGCAAGAUCCAGAGACAGAAAAAUCCAACCUCAACUGCUCCCAAAAAGGCCAAGGUGAGUUCCAGACACUGCAGUUGCUGAAUUCUGCUUUAUUUUUUUUUAAUUAUUUUUAUUUAUUUCUCUCUCCUUGUGUCUUACAGGAUUAUUUUCAUCUUCUUGUUGCUGCCAAUAUUUUUAUCUUCAUGCCCAUCUUGUUUUCCUGCAUUUCCUGCCCCAUCCCUCUUCCUUAAAUGACUUGAGGGCUUGAAUUCCUGUAGGACCAAAAGGACUUUUUUGGAGAGCGGUGUUUGUGUGUCACUUUUCAGACCUGAGGGCCAACAAAUGAGUUUGUGGUUCUUCCCUUACCUUGCAGAGCCAUGUUAGAAAAUCAUUCUUUUUGCUUUUGAGUUUUUAGAUGAUUCUGUAGCUGGCAGAAGAAGUGGAACCUUCCUUUUAGGGGCAGCAGUUGUCAUCCAUCAAAAUCCAGUAAUGGGAUCACUUCUCAAAAAAUAUUCUAGAGGAUGAUGAAAAUUUCAAUGUGCUUUAUUCUCCUUCUCAAUCUUUUCAGAAAACAAAAUACCCAAGCUUUGGGAAAAGAAGAAAGAAAAAAGUCAAGAAAUCUUUAUAUGGGGAAAGAGAAAUGGCUUCUAAGAAACCCCUUCUCAGCCCAAUCCCUGAAAUUCCAGAGGUUUUCUCUUUUGUCUCGUCUCCAAACUCACCACUUCUUACAGCAGGUGCCUGCUGUCCUUCAGAGGGAGCAGCUGUGGGUGACCCCAGAGCCAGGGACAGUCCCCAGGCUGGAAGGAUCCUCUGUGCAGCUGCUGGGGGCCCCGAGCCUGGAGACUCUGAGCUGCCAGGGAGGCUGGAGGCUGCUGGCUCUGCUGCUGAGGUAACUGCACAGCUGGGCUGGGAGGGACACCACUGCCCUGGGCAUCUGCAUCCCUGCAAUGUGCAUCCCUGCAAUGUGCAUCCCUGGGCAUGCAUCCCUGGGCAUCUCCAUCCCUCCAAUAUCCACCCCUGGGCAUCUGCAUCCCUGGGCAUCUCCAUCCCUCCAAUAUCCAC
rnacentral:lncRNA from 12 species